GACGAACGCUGGCGGCGUGCUUAACACAUGCAAGUCGAACGGAAAGGCCCUGCUUUUGUGGGGUGCUCGAGUGGCGAACGGGUGAGUAACACGUGAGUAACCUGCCCUUGACUUUGGGAUAACUUCAGGAAACUGGGGCUAAUACCGGAUAGGAGCUCCUGCUGCAUGGUGGGGGUUGGAAAGUUUCGGCGGUUGGGGAUGGACUCGCGGCUUAUCAGCUUGUUGGUGGGGUAGUGGCUUACCAAGGCUUUGACGGGUAGCCGGCCUGAGAGGGUGACCGGCCACAUUGGGACUGAGAUACGGCCCAGACUCCUACGGGCGGCAGCAGUGGGGAAUAUUGCACAAUGGGCGGGAGCCUGAUGCAGCAACGCCGCGUGCGGGAUGACGGCCUUCGGGUUGUAAACCGCUUUCGCCUGUGACGAAGCGUGAGUGACGGUAAUGGGUAAAGAAGCACCGGCUAACUACGUG
rnacentral:rRNA from 1 species